GACGAACGCUGGCGGCGUGCCUAAUACAUGCAAGUCGAACGAACCGCGACUAGGUGCUUGCACUUGGUCAAGGUGAGUGGCGAACGGGUGAGUAACACGUGGGUAACCUACCUCAUAGUGGGGGAUAACAGUCGGAAACGACUGCUAAUACCGCAUAGGACAUAGGCUCACAUGAUCCAGUGAGGAAAGGUGGCGCAAGCUAUCGCUAAGAGAUGGACCCGCGGUGCAUUAGCUAGUUGGUAGGGUAAAGGCCUACCAAGGCGAUGAUGCAUAGCCGACCUGAGAGGGUGAUCGGCCACAUUGGAACUGAGACACGGCCCAAACUCCUACGGGAGGCAGCAGUAGGGAAUCUUCCGCAAUGGACGCAAGUCUGACGGAGCAACGCCGCGUGAGUGAAGAAGGUCUUCGGAUCGUAAAGCUCUGUUGUUAGGGAAGAACAGCGCAUAGAGUAACUGUGAUGCGUGUGACGGUAUCUAACCAGAAAGCCACGGCUAACUACGUG
rnacentral:rRNA from 1 species